rnacentral:misc_RNA from 1 species
GGAAAGUUGAAAGCUGAAGGGAAGAAGCUGAAGUAAAAACUAAGAGCAAUAUAAAGACAUAACCCCUUUUGGGAAUUCAAAUCAACUGGCCGCAUCAAAACUAUCAACUUUUUACCGUUCCAAUAGUUCUUUUUCUUGAUUCACUUAUGUUUUCUUUAUUUCUCUCCUCUUUGUUUUAUUCGGUGCCACACUGUCAAUUCCUCUCGCUCUCUUCAUUGUUUAUUUCUUUGUGGUCCUUAAUGAAAGCUGCAAGUCACUGCCUCUUUCAGUUUCUUUCUUUCUUUUCUGUUAUCGGAUAAAAUAGCCAUGUGUCCUUGUGACAAAAUAGUGGUAACAAAAUCCACACGAUUGCACGCACUUACCAUUCACUGUAGAGGGGAGGGUACAUUUUUGUACCUUCUAUUGAGAAAAAUGAGACACCUCUGUUACAUAGUCUCGGAAAUCUUGAGCAACUCUGCUAUUGUUACUCCAAUUCAUCAUAUUCUGAACUGAGAAAAUAGUCUUCAGGCACUUGAAGGCUUGAACCACAUUGGCCUUCAAAAAAUUAAAACCGGUACUACAUAAAAUUAUCCAUUAGAAGAAUUGUUUCUGCAAAGAGUUUAUAUGGCACUAACCUAGCAAAAACCUAAUUGAAAAGGAUAUCCCUAUACAAAAUAAAAGCACAAAGAAAAUAUAGCAGAUAACUAUAAGAACCAGUUUUUGGUGGCUGAGACAUAAUCCAAAUAGUUGUCAACUCUAAUCGAAAAGUAUUUUAAUUUAUGCUCAAGUCACCCCCUUUUCAAUCAACAAGUUGGGUGAAAAGAAAUUAAAAGUGCGUUGUCCCUGUCAAGAAAGCACUCAAUUUAACGCUCCAAGAUUGAAGUGCAAAUAACCACAAUUCCACUUUACCAUGUGUUUAAAUUCUAGAGCUUUUGAUAUAUGAGAUUUUGAUACCAUCAACAAGUUACUCAAACUAAAAAUUUAAGAUUAUAGAUGAAAGCCCUAAAAACUUGAAGUGCUAUGAAAUAGCUUCUGCAAGUGCAUGAGUCAACGUAGUAUAGAUUUAAAAAUAUCGUUCCCAUAGGGAAUUGUACUCAAAUUGGAAUUAAAGAAAUAAGCUAGUUAGAAUAUCAAAAUUUAAAGAUAUUGAAAAUGAAAAUGAAAAUAA